rnacentral:tmRNA from 1 species
GAUUGGAUUUGACAGCGGGUCGGAAUGAUAUGUAAGCACGCAGUGCGCCUGGAGGUGGGCACUUUAAUCUCGGCUUCCAAAGAUUUAACUGGCGAAAACAAGUUUGCUCUCGCUGCCUAAUCGAAGUACAGUAGAUUGGCUUUAUUUCGGCACAAGGUGCUGAAACGAGACAUCACCCAAGAGCUGUUGCUCCGAAGCGUCUUGAUCAGGUGGUGCAGAUACAUCGGAGAUAGUUUGCGUCUGCCUCGCGGCGUGAAUGAAGUUUUUAGAGGAUAAGGUUUAGGUUGGUAGCACCGGUCUUGCCUAAGCUCGAAAACUAAAGCGGUGAUAAGCGUGUAGAAAGCACAUUGUUUCCCUGUUUGGACGAGGGUUCGAGCCCCUCCUGGUCCACC